rnacentral:rRNA from 1 species
GAUUAUUGGGCGUAAAGAGCUCGUAGGCGGUUUGUCGCGUCUGCUGUGAAAACUGGAGGCUCAACCUCCAGCCUGCAGUGGGUACGGGCAGACUAGAGUGCGGUAGGGGAGAUUGGAAUUCCUGGUGUAGCGGUGGAAUGCGCAGAUAUCAGGAGGAACACCGAUGGCGAAGGCAGAUCUCUGGGCCGUAACUGACGCUGAGGAGCGAAAGCAUGGGGAGCGAACAGGAUUAGAUACCCUGGUAGUCCAUGCCGUAAACGUUGGGAACUAGAUGUAGGGACCAUUCCACGGUUUCUGUGUCGCAGCUAACGCAUUAAGUUCCCCGCCUGGGGAGUACGGCCGCAAGGCUAAAACUCAAAGGAAUUGACGGGGGCCCGCACAAGCGGCGGAGCAUGCGGAUUAAUUCGAUGCAACGCGAAGAACCUUACCAAGACUUGACAUAUACGAGAACGGGCUAGAAAUAGUUCACUCUUUGGACACUCGUAAACAGGUGGUGCAUGGUUGUCGUCAGCUCGUGUCGUGAGAUGUUGGGUUAAGUCCCGCAACGAGCGCAACCCUCGUUCUUUGUUGCCAGCACGUUAUGGUGGGAACUCAAAGGAGACUGCCGGGGUCAACUCGGAGGAAGGUGGGGAUGACGUCAAAUCAUCAUGCCCCUUAUGUCUUGGGCUUCACGCAUGCUACAAUGGCCGAUACAAAGGGCUGCGAUACCGCAAGGUGGAGCGAAUCCCAAAAAGUCGGUCUCAGUUCGGAUUGAGGUCUGCAACUCGACCUCAUGAAGUCGGAGUCGCUAGUAAUCGCAGAUCAGCAACGCUGCGGUGAAUACGUUCCCGGGCCUUGUACACACCGCCCGUCAAGUCAUGAAAGUCGGUAACACCCGAAGCCAGUGGCCUAACCCGCAAGGGGAGGAGCUGUCGAA